UACGGAGGGUGCAAGCGCUAUCCGGAUUCACUGGGCGUAAAGGGCGCGUAGGUGGCGGGCCAAGUCCAUGGUGAAAGCUCGAUGCUCAACAUCGAGUCGGCCACGGAUACUGGUGCGCUGGAGCACUGUAGAGGCUAAUGGAAUUCCGGGUGUAGCGGUGGAAUGCGUAGAGAUCCGGAAGAACACCGGUGGCGAAGGCGGUUAGCUGGGCAGUUGCUGACACUGAGGCGCGACAGCGUGGGGAGCAAACAGG
rnacentral:rRNA from 1 species